AAAAAAAUCAAUUAAAAAUAAAAUUUUCGUUCGCGACACCGAAUCUCCAUCAUUCGAUCCGUUUAUUCGUUCACGAUUAUUUUUAGUCGCGAGAUUUUCCUCGUGAAAAAUAGAAGAAAAAAAUGCAAGAACGUCUAAAGAAUUGGAAGCUCGUAGCCUCGAUUUUUGAAACACGUCACCUGCACUCUUUUGUUCUUAUCGAGCCUUGAAUUGUUAAUUGGACGUUACGUAUUAUCGACUUUUACAGAGUUCACCGCGAUUUACACGUUCACCGGGAAGAUCGAGACACGCCGGAGGAUCGGUUCACCAACGGUCGCUACUCAACAACGACUUAACAGUGUCCACCUUCGGUUUAUCAUCGGCUAUACGCAACUUCUCCUACCUCCUCUCUACCGCUACAUCAUCCGCUACUGAUACGCCAAUAAAUCCAGCGCUGAAAAUUGCAGAAAACCCGUGAAUAAGAAGAACGAAAGAAAAGAAGAAAUACAUUCUGUGUAACGCCAAAAACUUGUAAUAGACAUCAGGAGAGCAGUAUGCGUAUAAUCUAAUCUAAUCUAUUCGAAUUUUUUGUAGACAAUGAGUGCAAUUGUAGCAGUAUUUGCAACGACACAAAUAUGUUAUCGUUCCUUCCUACUCGUUAACAUCGUAUUUAUCCAUCUAUAAUCUGCGUUUGUGUUAAUUUAAAGGGACUUUGUGAUGCCAUAGGGAAUUUCCAAGGUGAUAAUAAGCAAUGUGGCAAAGAAAAUUAAAAAGGUUCUACGAUCAUUAUCUGCGGUAUUAAAUUUCUUUU
rnacentral:misc_RNA from 1 species